GUAUAAAGUGUUGGUGGCACGUCUCAUCCAUUCCAAGGGGAUUUAAAGAGAAAUCAAAAUAAGAAUUACUCUCUAGGGACCAACAUCAAAUGAAAUUGAGGACAAUUUUUACACCAACAAUCCAGGACCCUUUGUCAUAAUAGUGACAUCUACUAUUGUGAAAACAUUUAGAGGUAAUAACUUCUUUUAAACAUAUCUUUUAUUUUACAUAAUUAACAUAUUUUUAUUAAAUACAGGGGAACACUAUUUGUCAUCUACAAGUGCAACAAAAGUGUACAUCAAUUUAGAAAUACCUAAAACUGCAACAUUGAUUGAUAGAAAUGUGGAAAAGACUGAAAUUGAAGGCAUUCCUCUACAAUUCAAGCAAGAAAUAUUAGUUGAAAAAAGAAUCACACAAAA